CCCAAGAGCUGCCAUUAAAACCCUGCAGCCCAAUGACAUUGGGAGGACACAGACAGAGAGUGGCAGUUUUUUCAGCUGAACCCCUCAGUGAAUUAUUCGGGGCUCAGAUGCCAGGAUGUCCCCCGAGAAAGUCGCCCUCCUGCUUUUCACUGCGUCUUGGGCACUGCCUGCUGGAACCUCAGGGGCCAGCCCCCCCGGGAUCUGCGUGGGAGCAGGAAAUCCCACACUCAAUUUGGCCUCCUCCUCGGUGGAUGACCUGUACAAAGGCUGCAAGUACGCCAUGAGGCAACAUCUCCCGUCCCUGAUAAAAAAGGAGCUGACCAAGAACAAGAACUUCUGCCUGGCUUGGAACAAGGCCAAGAAGGAGUGGAUGAGGAAGACAAAUAUGUACAUCUUCCCCAACACAAUGAAAGCUUUCUGCAGCGUCGCCGUGGUGGCCUAUACCUUAAACAACCCACCUCUGUAUAAGGAUUUCAACACAGCCACCAGGACGGGCUGGACGGGACCCAACGCCUACGCAAGGUACCCCUUCAAGGCCUUGCAUUUCCUGCUGACCCAGGCGCCCAAAGAGAUAUGGGGGAUAAAGCCCAGUUGUGCCACCGUCUACAGAGGAACCAAUGUAAACUUCUCCAUCAGCCGCUUGUUUCGCUUCGGCCAGUUCACCUCCACCUCAAAGAGCUCGAAGAAGGCGACCAAUUUCGGCCAAAAGACCUUCUUCAUCCUGGUUUCGUGCAUGGGGUAUCGGCUUCGGGACCUGUCCCACUUCCCUGAUGAACAAGAGGUGCUGGUGCCACCCUCCGAGAUGUUCCGGGUCACCAGGAUCCAGCGCACCUGGAUGAGGGAGACUGUCCAUGCCAAGUCGGUGGGGGUCUGCAGCAACCACAACUGUGCCUACACAAGGAAAGGAGACCCCAAUGUGAAGAAAUGUCCUCCUCACCAAGUGCUGCAUUUGUGAGGCACCAGAGCGAGGAGGGGAGGCAGCCUUUGGCCGGGAGCUCCAGGGAUCAUCACGUCCUUCUAGACUGGGAUCAAGCCACCCCGGGAGCCUCUCUUUGCUAAGCUGAAUAGAUUGAGGUCCUGGAGGCAAGGUGUCUACGCCUUCAGUCACUCUCCUGGUUCUUCUCUGGCCACUCUUCUCAGUCACUCGCCUGGUUCUUCUAUGGCUGAGCCAACUGAUGCUUAUUCUCUCUCCGUAUCUGCCCCUACAAUAAACACGCCCGCAUUGCAAUGUGUUUGGCUUUCUUCAGACCCUGCUGUGCUGCUGGGGGAGGAGAAUUGGAGGUCACCAUGUGUGAUCCUUCAUGGACAGGAGCCCGUCAGAGGUUCGCGGGCACGGUGCGGACGCCGUCGAGCGUACCAGCUGGGGUAGCGGGGCCAGGAAAGCCGCACUGGAAAGGGAGGUGCCGGGGUUUGUGACUGGGCCUAAUGGCAAAGGGUGGAUGCACUGCAGCCGCUAGCAAUGGGCUCUGUUCACUUUAUCCAGCUCUGCCGCGUUUACGCCGCAAGCUCUAGGCUUGGUCUGCUGCUACCCUGGGAGCCCAGGCCCUGUGGGGCUGCAGGUAGGGUGACCAGACAGCAAAUGUGAAAAAUCGGGACAAGGGGUG